AUGUAACUUGUUCUUUGUAAGCUGGACGAAGACUUGAAAGAGAAAACUACCAACCUUUUCUCGUUUGUGGGUCAAUUGAAAGCAGGUCGUGGUCUAACUAUCGCUGCAUUUGUACUCAAAGAUGACAUCCUGCAAAGAAACGACGAAGUUGAAGCGGCUAAAGCAUGCCUACAACAACUUAUAAAAAUCAACAAAGUCAGAGGAUUUUCUCAAGUCAUUGUUUCUGAUGAAAUAAAUAGUGGCUUAUCGUAUCUAAUUCAAAGCAAUGGACUUGGUGGUCUGAAAGCAAACACUGUCGUCAUGGCGUGGCCAGAGAAUUGGAAGGAAAAAGACACUUGGAAGAAAUUUGUCUAUACCUUACGAGUAAUCUCGAAGCGCCACAAGGCACUGCUCGUCGCCAAGAAUCUUCUAGCGUUCCCAGGUAAUAACGAACGUCUUCAGGGAACCUUGGAUGUCUGGUGGACCGUUCACGAUGGCGGUAUGAUGAUCCUCCUGAUCCUUUUGUUAUCGCAACAUAAAGUAUGGAGGCAAUGUAACCUUCGAAUUGUUACUGUCGCACAAAUGCAAGACAACAGCGUUCAAAUGGCCAAAGAUCUCAAGAUGUUUGUGUAUCAACUUCGUAUAAAAGCAGAAGUUGAAGUUAUCGAAAUGUUGGAUACUGACAUUGAAGCCUACACGUACGAAAAACAUUAGUUAUGGAACAGCAAGACAAAAUGUUGAAGAAAAUGAGAUUGACCAGGAAAGAAAGUCGGAAAGAAGUACAGGCGAUCGUAGAAACACACCAUAAACCGAAUAAAAACCACGACGAUCUCCCCCCUGAUAUUCCAAUUCCCACCAUCAACAUCGACGCAUGCUCUGCAAAUACGAAAACUGACGAACAGGACGGUUGUGUCAUAGGAGACGACAAUGAACAUCCAAGCCGUAUUAAUGUACGAAGAAUGGACAACGCCGUCAAGUUAAAUAAACUGAUAAAAGAAAAAUCUUUGGAUGC